AAUUUCUAUAGGUUAUUUUUCGAAGAUUGGAGGGUCAUGGCAGCAAUUUUGCUAUACUUGCAGGAUUAGGGUUUUAGAUCUAGGUGUCUUUGCCGAACGCUAUUUAAACGCCUUGCAGGAUGCCCAAAACUCGUUCUGCAUCGCUCUUCUCACUCCAAAAUCUCCUCUAUGGGUUAUUUAGCUGGUAUUAUGCCCUAAUUUUGUUGCGGCUGAUCCGCGGAUCUUAGUCUUAAUCGUGUAUGCACUCGCAAUGCAUCUUCGUCGGAUGGUAAAUAGCUCGGCCAUGCUUGAUUGUUUGAAUAAUUUGAUAUGUGCAGUCAAUUUUUUUUUUUUAAAUAUAUAUUUUUUAAUUUUGUAAUUUUUUUUUAUUUUUUUUAUAGAUUUCUUGAUAUAUCCGAUUCAUUUGUUUGAGGUCAUCGGGGUGUUGGAUUUGUUAAGUCUAAUAGUGGCAGUGAUGAUGAAUUCAUAUACCAUCAAACUAUGAAAGCUCUGUCUUCUUUUUGGGGCGAGCUUGUUGAUGUCACCAUGAAUUUUUCUGAGCCUUUCUUCUUGACAAGGAUGGUUCAAUUUUUAGUUUUUAGGUUUUACUUGGUUUGUUUUGGUAUUCAAUAUCUGAGCCUAUCUUCUCGUGAGUCAUCGAAUGAACAAUCGCAAAAGGCAAUAAAUUAGAGUCUCUGAUACGCUCUCUCCCGUGUCGUGAUCAGCGCUGUACGUUGCCAACAAGGAUUUGGGGCCGAGAUUCUGGCACCUGCCUUUUAUGUUCGUAAGGCUGUGCAUUUAGGUGCUCCUACAUUUGCAUAUCCAAUAUUGUUCGUUUUGAAAUUAUUGCCAUUUCGAUAUCCCUUUGCUUGCUUUUUCGGAUAUACAUCCUUUUAAUUCUAAGAUUUGAGAAAUAUGUUUGUUCAUUUGAUAAUGUGGCGCAACAACUUGUUCAGUUUCAUUCACGUAUUUUUCUUGAAUUGCCGUUAUGUUUUUGGAUACCGUUGGAACUUGGAAGGUAUGACCUGUAAUUUGUAGUAAAUGGUCGAUCUGUUGGUGACGAAUGAUGAGAUCCAGCCGGAGGAAAUAGGAAGAAAUCAGGUAUUCUAUGGAGGCACAUGCUUGGCCUUUGAUUUAAUCUUGCUUUUUUCGGCCGCGGGCAGUGUCAAAAUUUGUACCCAACCUGAAAUAUUUCUUCAAUCUGUGAAACACAUGAAUUCCAAGACCCGCACUCUGAUUAACAUAGAAGCUGCUUAGAAUGUGAAACAGGACCCAGGCCGAGUAUUGACGAGGGCUACCAAUUCUAAAUCACAGGAUGCUCCCUUGCCAACGUUUAAUUUCAUUCGGAUGUUAGUCUACAAGCCACAAGACCAAGUUAUGUUAUGUACAUAUGCAAAUUGGACCAACCUUCAUUCCAUACACGUUUUUGUCAACCUUGGACCAUUUACAAAUAAAGUGAAUUUGUACACACCCUGGACUUGUGAAUAAUGAAAUAAACCAUUUGAAUGUCAA